AUUGAACGCUGGCGGCAGGCCUAACACAUGCAAGUCGAACGGAGGGGCAGACGGGUGAGUAUUGCCUAGGAAUCUGCCUGGUCGUGGUGGAUGACGUCCGGAAACGGGAGCUAAUACCGCUUACUAUCAGAUGAGCCUAGGUCGGAUUAGCUCGUUGGUGGGGUAAGGGACUACCAAGGCGACGACCCGUAACUGGUCUGAGAGGAUGAUCAGCCACACUGGAACGGAGACACGGUCCAGACUCCUACGGGAGGCAGCAGUGGGGAAUAUUGGACAAUGGGCGAAAGCCUGAUCCAGCCAUGCCGCGUGUGUGAAGAAGGUCUUCGGAUUGUAAAGUACUUUAAGUUGGGAGGCGUUACCCACAGAAUAAGCACCGGCUAACUCCGUGCCAGCAGCCGCGGUAAUUC
rnacentral:rRNA from 1 species